GAAAUUGUAUAAUUUAUAAUUCUUUAUUACUAAAGACUUAUUUACAUAGUGUUUAAGGUAUAAUAAAAAAUAAAUUACAAUACAAAAGUGCUCUUCAGGAAGGAGAUACUAAACAAGGCCAUAUUACCCCUUGAGUAUUUAGCCAAGACACGAGCUAUAAGAUUGCUGGAAAAAGUUUUUAACUACUUUGUUUCACUUAUGGAGCAUCAUCAAGACAUCUGAAGAAAUAUCCAGUUGUUGUAUUUUCAAGAGUUUGUUUUUGGGGGGUUUUUUUGGUAUCAGGGAUCGAACUCAGGACCUUGAGCUUGUGGGGCGGGCAGCAGAACCACUGAGCUAAAUCCCCGGCCCUUUAAGAGUUAAAUUACAAAGAAAAAUAUAAAAUGUUAUUUAGAGGUAAUAGAUUUCAAAUCUAAUUUCUAGUUUCAAAACUGAGUAUUGAGAGUUUACCUUUUGAGGCAGUGUAAAAGGCAGAAUGAGAUAGGUAUAGAAUGAAUUUCAGAAUUGAGGUUCACAUGUAAAUUAUACCAAUUUUAAAGAAAUAAUAUUGAGAAAAAUAUCAAGAUCCAGCAUCUUUAAAUAUAACCUGUGAAAAUUUCAAUUUGUUUAAAAAAAAAGUAUCAGCAGCUUAAUCAGUGAAAACUGAAAAUAUCAGGCUAUAAAGAUUUAUCUUUGGGCCAGGGAUUUAGCUCAGUGGUUCUGCUGCCUGCCUCACAAGCGCAAGGUCCCGAGUUCGAUCCCUGAUACCAAAAAAGAUUUAUCUUUGACCUAAACUUGUAGGUGUUUUUUAUCCUUUGAACAAAUGUGUAAGUUUGUAAAGAUAUGGAUAACUAGACACUUUUGUAAAAGCUCUCUUCUUUCCACAGCUCACUUACAAAGUGUACCUACCAAUAUAAGGGGGAAUAGUUUCAGUUAGUUGAAGUAGUUUUGGUAUUUCUUUGCUCUGUACCGAAUUCUCUGUCCCUUAAGCAAGUGAAUUACAAUCAAUAAACAGAGAAAAUAUUUAAAUAAGCUCAUCCAGUUCUGAACUUUGUAUAAUACUGUACAAAAUUAUCAUCAUUUAGAGUUGGUCUUCUUCACCAGCCCUAAAUUUUUAAAGUUGCGGUAUACUAUCUCAGAACCCUUCCAUUAAACUGCUUACUGAUUCCAGUCUGCAAACGAGCAUAGAUUUUGCUCUGUUGUUAAAGAUAAUUGAAUAGAAGGGCAGGGCAGAAAGCUAAACAGUCACAGCUCAUGAAAGACCUACACUGUUAAUUAUUUUCCCAAUAAAGUAAAAAGAUGACACAUGAUACAUCCUGAGGUGGCAUUUGCCAAUACAGUAGUGUCUAUGUAACCUUUUGCACUUACUGAAUGAUUUGGACUUGCGCUAUUUUAAAUCUUACAUUAACUGACAAAAACAAAAAAUCUCAUCAAAGGCGUGUCCCAUACUUGAGGAGAACCAUAAAAAUCACACUUAACAGUUUGUCCUUGGAAUUUCCUGUUAAUUAAAAAAUGGCUGAGAGGUUUAGCUCCCCUUUAAUGGAAAUGUGAGAAGGAAAGAAAACAUUAACUUUAGCAGCAAGGGUGAUGCUCUCAAGAUACUAAUGUGUGAAAGGAAAUGUCAUGACAAAUUGGCCUUUAUCCCUUUUGUUGCCAGUAUGUGUUUCUACAAGUCAUACCCCAUAAGGGGGUGUUGUAAGGGAAAAAAUGUAGCUUCUUAGUUUAUACAAGCUAAUGUGGAUUUGAAAAGUAUUUGUACUCUGAAAUUAAAUAAAAGCUUAACAAUGAGACUGUGUGUGAGUCUGCUGGCAUCUGCUCAAGAGCUCUGUGCUGCCUGCAGAGAGAUGUUAUUUAUCUCGGUGGUAUGUUCUGCAGAACUUGUCAGAAGACAGGUCACAACUGGAAACACCGAAGAGAAAUUUCCAUGAACUUCAGGAAAUCUUGGAAAUCUUCAGCUUCCUAAAAUACAAAACAAAAAUUUUAAGUUGAU
ensembl:lncRNA